rnacentral:lncRNA from 1 species
GUCUCAGAAACAAAAGAUUAAAAAGAGUAAAGUUCAUCAAACAGAGUACACAAGCAUUAUAACCAGUGUUUUUGAUGGAAAGUUACUUAGUUCAGUUCAGUGUCUCACUUGCAAUCGGCUUUCAAGUCGAUUAGAAACCUUUCAGGAUUUAUCAUUACCUAUACCAAAUAAGGAGGAAUUAUCAAGAAUUCACACUCAAUAUGCUCUACCAUCUUCUGGUAUAGUUACUGAUACUGGGUGGUUCUCUUAUGGUUGGUAUUGGGUGAAGAGUUGGUUUACUGGACCAGAUAUUCAGCUGCAAGAUUGUUUGAAAGCUUUUUUCACAAAUGACGAAUUA